rnacentral:lncRNA from 1 species
ACUCUUGAAAAUAUGAAUUAACAUUCUCACUAACUCAAAGGAUGUAUCACAGACACAAUGUACAUAAUGUGAUAGAAGAAUAACCCUUUUAUUCAUUUAUAGUCAAAAUUAUAAUUUUGUCCUUAGAUUUGUACAGAAAUGUGUCAGCUGAUCUGGCAUCUAGGGCACACAUCUGACAUUAGAGACCCCCAAAGGAGACUUAACCCAGCUAUGAAGGAGGUAGUGAAGAAAGAGAUUCUCAAGUUACUAGAUAAUAAAAUUAUCUAUCCCAUUUCAGAUAGUUCAUGGGUUAGCCUAAUUCAAGUCGUGCCUAAAAAGUUAGGGGUAAUAG